AACGAACGCUGGCGGCGUGGCUAAGACAUGCAAGUCGAACGGAAUAGUAAUAUUCAGUGGCGAAAGGAUGAGUAAUGGAUAGGUAACGUACCUUAUGUUCCGGGAUAGCGUCUGAAAGCUUGCUUUCUUCCGAAGGGGCAGUAAUACCGGAUGAUAUAGUAUCUUGCAGGAGAUAUUAUCAAAGAUUAAUCGACAUAAGAGCGGCCUAUUCCCUAUCAGUUAGUUGGUGAGGUAACGGCUCACCAAGACAAUGACGGGUAGCGGGACUGAGAGGUUGGCCCGCCAUAUCGGGACUGAGACACUGCCCGGACCUCCACGGAGGGCUGCAGUAACGAAUAUUGGGCAAUGGGCGAAAGCCUGACCCAGCGACGCCGCGUGCAGGACGAAGCUCCUCGGAGUGUAAACUGCUGUCAGGGAUAUGUAAGUGCGCUUCGGCGCAUUGAACUACCCCAGAGGAAGUCACGGCUAACUUCGUG
rnacentral:rRNA from 1 species